GGAAGUAUCUCUUUAAGACAGAAUUUUAGUUAAUAAGUGAAGAAGAAAAAAUAGAAUAUAAUUUUUUACAACUCCUAGUAGAAUAACAGAUCUGGGCAUUGACCAUCAAUGGCUGCUGAUAUUACAAAAAGAGAGGCAGCCAGACAUCGCGUACCCACUGAUAGAAGUACACAACGCCAUCAUGAAGCAGUUUUCUGAGAAGGAAAAAAGAACCUGAAUCUGCCCAGGCUCCUACAGUUAACCCUUGAACAGCACGGGGAUAAGGGCACAGGCACUCCCCGCCAGCCCUGCACACAGUCGAAAAUUCAUGUGUACCUUUUGAGUCUCC